rnacentral:rRNA from 1 species
GAACGCUGGCGGCAUGCCUACACAUGCAAGUCGAACGGCAGCACGGGAGCAAUCCUGGUGGCGAGUGGCGAACGGGUGAGUAAUAUAUCGGAACGUGCCCAGUCGUGGGGGAUAACGUAGCGAAAGCUACGCUAAUACCGCAUACGAUCUAUGGAUGAAAGCGGGGGAUCGCAAGACCUCGCGCGAUUGGAGCGGCCGAUAUCAGAUUAGGUAGUUGGUGAGGUAAAGGCUCACCAAGCCGACGAUCUGUAGCUGGUCUGAGAGGACGACCAGCCACACUGGGACUGAGACACGGCCCAGACUCCUACGGGAGGCAGCAGUGGGGAAUUUUGGACAAUGGGCGCAAGCCUGAUCCAGCAAUGCCGCGUGCAGGAUGAAGGCCUUCGGGUUGUAAACUGCUUUUGUACGGAACGAAACGGUGAGCUCUAAUACAGUUUGCUAAUGACGGUACCGUAAGAAUAAGCACCGGCUAACUACGUG